rnacentral:rRNA from 1 species
GUGUCAGCCGCCGCGGUAAGACAGAGGUGGCGAGCGUUGUUCGGAAUCAUUGGGCUUAAAGAGCACGUAGGCGGCCCGUCAAGUGUCUUGUGAAAUCCCUCGGCUCAACCGAGGAAUUGCUGGGCAUACUGUCGGGCUUGAGGUAGGUAUGGGCGAGUGGAACUCUUGGUGGAGCGGUGGAAUGCGUAGAUAUCAAGAGGAACGCCGGUGGUGAAGACGAUUCGCUGGGCCUAUCCUGACGCUGAGGUGCGAAAGCCAGGGGAGCAAACGGGAUUAGAAACCCCUGUAGUCC